GACGAACGCUGGCGGCGUGCUUAACACAUGCAAGUCGAACGGUAAGGCCCUUUCGGGGGUACACGAGUGGCGAACGGGUGAGUAACACGUGGGUGAUCUGCCCUGCACUUUGGGAUAAGCCUGGGAAACUGGGUCUAAUACCGAAUACACCUUGCUGGUCGCAUGGCCUGGUGGGGGAAAGCUUUUGCGGUGUGGGAUGGGCCCGCGGCCUAUCAGCUUGUUGGUGGGGUGAUGGCCUACCAAGGCGACGACGGGUAGCCGGCCUGAGAGGGUGUCCGGCCACACUGGGGCUGAGAUACGGCCCAGACUCCUACGGGAGGCAGCAGUGGGGAAUAUUGCACAAUGGGCGCAAGCCUGAUGCAGCGACGCCGCGUGAGGGAUGACGGCCUUCGGGUUGUAAACCUCUUUCAAUAGGGACGAAGCGUAAGUGACGGUACCUAUAGAAGAAGCACCGGCCAACUACGUGCCAGCCGCCGCCGUAAAAC
rnacentral:rRNA from 1 species